CAGCCGCCGCGGGAAUACGAAGGGUGCGAGCGUUAAUCGGAAUUACUGGGCGUAAAGCGUGCGCAGGCGGUUGUGUAAGACAGGUGUGAAAUCCCCGGGCUUAACCUGGGAACUGCGCUUGUGACUGCACAGCUAGAGUAUGGCAGAGGGGGGUGGAAUUCCACGUGUAGCAGUGAAAUGCGUAGAGAUGUGGAGGAACACCGAUGGCGAAGGCAGCCCCCUGGGCCAACACUGACGCUCAUGCACGAAAGCGUGGGGAGCAAACAGGAUUAGAUACCCCUGUAGUCCCUGUCUCUUAUAC
rnacentral:rRNA from 1 species